rnacentral:rRNA from 1 species
UACGAAGGGGGCGAGCGUUGUUCGGAAUUACUGGGCGUAAAGGGCGCGUAGGCGGCGAUCCUAGUCAGAUGUGAAAGUCCUGGGCUUAACCUGGGGACUGCAUUUGAUACUGGAUUGCUUGAAUUCGGGAGAGGAUAGCGGAAUUCCCAGUGUAGAGGUGAAAUUCGUAGAUAUUGGGAAGAACACCGGUGGCGAAGGCGGCUAUCUGGACCGACAUUGACGCGUGAGGCGCGAAAGCGUGGGGAGCAAACAGG